CAUCUUUUCUUGUUAGUUUUUGAAGUAUGGCCUGCCCACUGACUUAUUUGUUGAAGGGCCGCGGUAUUUUGACCGUGCAAAGGUAGCAUAAUCAUUAGUUCUUUAAUUGUGAUCUGGUAUGAAUGGCUUGACGAGGUAUAAUCUGUCUUGAUUGUAUUGUUGAUUGAAUUUAGUUUUUGAGUUAAAAUUCUUAAAUGUUUUUAUGGGACGAGAAGACCCUAUAGAGUUUUACAUUUAUUUCUUCAUUAUUUUUAUUUGUUUGUUUUUAUUGUAAAGUUGUUUGAAUGUUUUGUUGGGGUGAUGGGAGGAAUUUUUUUAACUCCUCUUUGUUUUUAUACACUUAUUUGUGUUUUUUUGAUCCAUUUAUUUUGAUUAUAAGAUUGAAUUACCUUAGGGAUAACAGCGUUAUCUUCCUUGAGAGUUCUUAUUGGCGGGAAGGUUUGCGACCUCGAUGUUGGAUUAAGAUUAAUUUUCGGUGCAGAAGCUGAAAUUGAUUAGGUCUGUUCGACCUUUAAAAUCUUACGUGAUCU
rnacentral:rRNA from 1 species